rnacentral:misc_RNA from 1 species
GAUGAAGAACGCAGCAAAAUGCGAUAAGUAAUGUGAAUUGCAGAAUUCAGUGAAUCAUCGAAUCUUUGAACGCACAUUGCGCCCGCCAGUAUUCUGGCGGGCAUGCCUGUUCGAGCGUCAUUUCAACCCUCAAGCCCCCGGGCUUGGUGUUGGGGAUCGGCGAGCCUCCGCGCCCGCCGUCCCCUAAAUCUAGUGGCGGUCUCGCUGUAGCUUCCUCUGCGUAGUAGCACACCUCGCACUGGGAAACAGCGCGGCCACGCCGUUAAACCCCCAACUUCUGAACGUUUGACCUCGGAUCAGGUAGGAAUACCCGCUGAACUUAAGCAUAUCAAUAAGCGGAGGA